AGUGAACGCUGGCGGUAGGCCUAACACAUGCAAGUCGAACGGCAGCACAGUAAGAGCUUGCUCUUACGGGUGGCGAGUGGCGGACGGGUGAGGAAUACAUCGGAAUCUACUUUUUCGUGGGGGAUAACGUAGGGAAACUUACGCUAAUACCGCAUACGGCCUACGGGUGAAAGCAGGGGAUCUUCGGACCUUGCGCGAUUGAAUGAGCCAAUGUCGGAUUAGCUAGUUGGCGGGGUAAAGGCCCACCAAGGCGACGAUCCGUAGCUGGUCUGAGAGGAUGAUCAGCCACACUGGAACUGAGACACGGUCCAGACUCCUACGGGAGGCAGCAGUGGGGAAUAUUGGACAAUGGGCGCAAGCCUGAUCCAGCCAUACCGCGUGGGUGAAGAAGGCCUUCGGGUUGUAAAGCCCUUUUGUUGGGAAAGAAAAGCAGCAGGUUAAUACCCCGCUGUUCUGACGGUACCCAAAGAAUAAGCACCGGCUAACUUCGUG
rnacentral:rRNA from 1 species